rnacentral:rRNA from 1 species
CGCCUUGCCAGCCCGCUCAGAAACUUAAAGGAAGUUAGACGGGGCCCGGCACAAGCGGAGGAGCAUGUGGUUUAAUUCGAUGAUACGCGAGGAACCUUACCUGGGCUCGAACGUAAGAUGACUGUAGGUGAAAGCUUACAUCUCUUCGGAGCAUUUUACGAGGUGCUGCAUGGUUGUCGUCAGCUCGUGCCGUGAGGUGUCGGGUUAAGUCCCAUAACGAGCGCAACCCCUACCUUAGUUGCCAUCAGGUUAAGCUGGGGACUCUAAAGGAACUGCCUACGCAAGUAGUGAGGAAGCGGGGAUGACGUCAAAUCAGCACGGCCCUUACGUCCAGGGCUACACACGUGCUACAAUGGCCGAUACAGAGGGCAGCUACCUGGUGACAGGAUGCAAAUCUCCAAAGUCGGUCUCAGUUCGGAUCGGAGUCUGCAACCCGACUCCGUGAAGUUGGAUUCGCUAGUAAUCGCGCAUCAGCCAUGGCGCGGUGAAUACGUUCCCGGGCCUU